rnacentral:rRNA from 1 species
AACGCUGGCGGCGCGCUUAACACAUGCAAGUCGAGCGAGAACCUUUCCUUCGGGAUUGGGGACAGCGGCGAACGGGUGAGUAACACGUGGGUAAUCAACCCUCGACACUGGGAUAGCCCGGGGAAACCCGGAUUACUACCGGAUACCCCAUCUGGCCUUCGGGCCGGCUGGAAAAGGUAGCUUUGGCCUCCGGUCGAGGACGAGCCCGCGGCGGAUUAGCUUGUUGGCGGGGUAAAAGCCCACCAAGGCGACGAUCCGUAGCUGGUCUGGGAGGACGGUCAGCCACACUGGGACUGAGACACGGCCCAGACUCCUACGGGAGGCAGCAGUGGGGAAUCUUGCGCAAUGGGCGAAAGCCUGACGCAGCGACGCCGCGUGAGGGAAGAAGGCCUUCGGGUUGUAAACCUCUUUCAGGAGGGACGAAGCCACUCGGGUUAAUAGCCCAGAGGGUGACGGUACCUCCAGAAGAAGCCCCGGCUAACUACGUGCCAGCCGCCGCCGUAA